rnacentral:tRNA from 1 species
GGUGGGUUGGCUCAGGGGUUAGAGCGUAGGUCUCGCAUCCGAAAGGUCGCGGGAUCGAAUCCCGCUAGAGGCUG